rnacentral:rRNA from 1 species
GGUUAAGCGACUAAGCGUACACGGUGGAUGCCCUGGCAGUCAGAGGCGAUGAAGGACGUGCUAAUCUGCGAUAAGCGUCGGUGAGGUGAUAUGAACCGUUAUAACCGGCGAUUUCCGAAUGGGGAAACCCAGUGUGUUUCGACACACUAUCAUUAACUGAAUCCAUAGGUUAAUGAGGCGAACCGGGGGAACUGAAACAUCUAAGUACCCCGAGGAAAAGAAAUCAACCGAGAUUCCCCCAGUAGCGGCGAGCGAACGGGGAGGAGCCCAGAGCCUGAAUCAGUGUGUGUGUUAGUGGAAGCGUCUGGAAAGGCGCGCGAUACAGGGUGACAGCCCCGUACACAAAAAUGCACAUAUUGUGAGCUCGAUGAGUAGGGCGGGACACGUGGUAUCCUGUCUGAAUAUGGGGGGACCAUCCUCCAAGGCUAAAUACUCCUGACUGACCGAUAGUGAACCAGUACCGUGAGGGAAAGGCGAAAAGAACCCCGGCGAGGGGAGUGAAAAAGAACCUGAAACCGUGUACGUACAAGCAGUGGGAGCCUCUUAAUGGGGUGACUGCGUACCUUUUGUAUAAUGGGUCAGCGACUUAUAUUCUGUAGCAAGGUUAACCGAAUAGGGGAGCCGAAGGGAAACCGAGUCUUAACUGGGCGUUAAGUUGCAGGGUAUAGACCCGAAACCCGGUGAUCUAGCCAUGGGCAGGUUGAAGGUUGGGUAACACUAACUGGAGGACCGAACCGACUAAUGUUGAAAAAUUAGCGGAUGACUUGUGGCUGGGGGGUAGAGCACUGUUUCGGCAAGGGGGUCAUCCCGACUUACCAACCCGAUGCAAACUGCGAAUACCGGAGAAUGUUAUCACGGGAGACACACGGCGGGUGCUAACGUCCGUCGUGAAGAGGGAAACAACCCAGACCGCCAGCUAAGGUCCCAAAGUCAUGGUUAAGUGGGAAACGAUGUGGGAAGGCCCAGACAGCCAGGAUGUUGGCUUAGAAGCAGCCAUCAUUUAAAGAAAGCGUAAUAGCUCACUGGUCGAGUCGGCCUGCGCGGAAGAUGUAACGGGGCUAAACCAUGCACCGAAGCUGCGGCAGCGACACUAUGUGUUGUUGGGUAGGGGAGCGUUCUGUAAGCCUGUGAAGGUGGCCUGUGAGGGUUGCUGGAGGUAUCAGAAGUGCGAAUGCUGACAUAAGUAACGAUAAAGCGGGUGAAAAGCCCGCUCGCCGGAAGACCAAGGGUUCCUGUCCAACGUUAAUCGGGGCAGGGUGAGUCGACCCCUAAGGCGAGGCCGAAAGGCGUAGUCGAUGGGAAACAGGUUAAUAUUCCUGUACUUGGUGUUACUGCGAAGGGGGGACGGAGAAGGCUAUGUUGGCCGGGCGACGGUUGUCCCGGUUUAAGCGUGUAGGCUGGUUUUCCAGGCAAAUCCGGAAAACCAAGGCUGAGGCGUGAUGACGAGGCACUACGGUGCUGAAGCGACAAAUGCCCUGCUUCCAGGAAAAGCCUCUAAGCAUCAGGUAACAUCAAAUCGUACCCCAAACCGACACAGGUGGUCAGGUAGAGAAUACCAAGGCGCUUGAGAGAACUCGGGUGAAGGAACUAGGCAAAAUGGUGCCGUAACUUCGGGAGAAGGCACGCUGAUAUGUAGGUGAAGCGACUUGCUCGUGGAGCUGAAAUCAGUCGAAGAUACCAGCUGGCUGCAACUGUUUAUUAAAAACACAGCACUGUGCAAACACGAAAGUGGACGUAUACGGUGUGACGCCUGCCCGGUGCCGGAAGGUUAAUUGAUGGGGUUAGCGGUAACGCGAAGCUCUUGAUCGAAGCCCCGGUAAACGGCGGCCGUAACUAUAACGGUCCUAAGGUAGCGAAAUUCCUUGUCGGGUAAGUUCCGACCUGCACGAAUGGCGUAAUGAUGGCCAGGCUGUCUCCACCCGAGACUCAGUGAAAUUGAACUCGCUGUGAAGAUGCAGUGUACCCGCGGCAAGACGGAAAGACCCCGUGAACCUUUACUAUAGCUUGACACUGAACAUUGAGCCUUGAUGUGUAGGAUAGGUGGGAGGCUUUGAAGUGUGGACGCCAGUCUGCAUGGAGCCGACCUUGAAAUACCACCCUUUAAUGUUUGAUGUUCUAACGUGGGCCCCUAAUCGGGGUUGCGGACAGUGUCUGGUGGGUAGUUUGACUGGGGCGGUCUCCUCCUAAAGAGUAACGGAGGAGCACGAAGGUUGGCUAAUCCUGGUCGGACAUCAGGAGGUUAGUGCAAUGGCAUAAGCCAGCUUGACUGCGAGCGUGACGGCGCGAGCAGGUGCGAAAGCAGGUCAUAGUGAUCCGGUGGUUCUGAAUGGAAGGGCCAUCGCUCAACGGAUAAAAGGUACUCCGGGGAUAACAGGCUGAUACCGCCCAAGAGUUCAUAUCGACGGCGGUGUUUGGCACCUCGAUGUCGGCUCAUCACAUCCUGGGGCUGAAGUAGGUCCCAAGGGUAUGGCUGUUCGCCAUUUAAAGUGGUACGCGAGCUGGGUUUAGAACGUCGUGAGACAGUUCGGUCCCUAUCUGCCGUGGGCGCUGGAGAACUGAGGGGGGCUGCUCCUAGUACGAGAGGACCGGAGUGGACGCAUCACUGGUGUUCGGGUUGUCAUGCCAAUGGCACUGCCCGGUAGCUAAAUGCGGAAGAGAUAAGUGCUGAAAGCAUCUAAGCACGAAACUUGCCCCGAGAUGAGUUCUCCCUGAGACUUAGAGUCUCCUGAAGGAACGUUGAAGACGACGACGUUGAUAGGCCGGGUGUGUAAGCGCAGCGAUGCGUUGAGCUAACCGGUACUAAUGAACCGUGAGGCUUAACCUU